rnacentral:lncRNA from 1 species
GCCCAAAAGAAAUAAUGGGGGGUGGGGGUGGGGGAUACUCAGUCAAUUUUCCUGCCUUUGCUCAGGGAAAUGUCAGGUUUCUGUGUAGGUGUAGGCAGAGAGAGGACCAAUAUGCCCAUCCCUUUAAAGGGCAACUAUAUGGAAAACUAAAAUAAGUCAUCAAGGUAUAUAUAGUGAUACCUAAGAACAAGUAUUCUUUCUAGCUGAAGAUAAACACAAGCAAAACAAAAACAAACAAAAAAGGUGCAAUAUUGCAUGUUUUUGGUGCAUUCUUAGGAUGUAAAUGAUAAUGUUUAUCUAUUGUAUGCAUCCAAAGCAGAGCUGAUUUCUUUUUGCAGUCAUGAUUUGAAGUCUGCAGAGACUUCAGCCCUCCCCUUGAGGCUCCCUGAAGAAACUCAACCAAUUGAUUUAAUAGUUGCUUAGUGCCUUUAUCCUGUACCCACAGUGAACUGCAGAAAGUGCCUCCAUAACACAGCUGAGAAGUUACAUAACAGAAGGGAGGAGGGGUUGGGGCACAGAUAUUUUGCUUUUUGUUUUGUUUUGUUUUGUUUUUGUUUUUCCAUCCUCACUCUCACUUCACCACUGUGAGAAGACCGCGCUACCCUAAACUCUGGAGAGGAAAGAUCCAGGAGAGUGCUGUCUCACUGGUCAUCACUGGACUCGGCCCCUUUGGCAGCCUGACUCUGGACAGGAACUGAGACCCAUCUUUGAACCGGACGUGAACCGUGAACUUUUUUUUCCCUCUUCUCCACCAGAAGCCAAGAUAAACUCUUUGGAAAUUUGUUUCCUAUGGAGGGCCUCUCCGGACAUGCAGUUUCCUAGGUCCAAUGUAGUGUUCCUGGUACAUUUCCUUACUCUUUCUCAGUUAGCUACAGCACUUUGCAAAUCUCUGAUAGCCUGAUUUUUUUCAGGCAUCACUGUGGAACACUGGGUUCACCAUGACCUUUCCUAGGCCUUCCCUCCUGACCCACCCACCCUCUUUUGAUGUUUCCUAUGAUGCUCCUUUGAUCAUCCCACCCGGCAGUCACUUCACAGGCUGAGCAUCUACCUUCUGCUGCCCCAGUCACCCAGCUAAAAGAACAGUGGGGACCUCAUGCCCAGCUGAAAGAGAGCCACUUAACAUAGGCCUCUGGAGCCCGGCAGCUGUCCACCAGUGGAGAGGCACUCAGCCUUUAUAAGGACACCAAAGUGGGGAAUCAUCAUUCUGCACUUAGCAUGUGGCUGCCUGCUGCUGACCGCCUUACAUUCCUGCCCAGCUUCUUCUGGAAUCUUCCCUGUGACUUCUAUCCUUUUCCCCCCAUCCUGUCCUCAGACUAGCAGCGAGGCAAUCAACAAGAAACCAGAGCGGCACCCAGGCUGGCUGACUCGAUUGAAAGAAAGAAUAUGGAUAUUAGAUUUCCCUGUGCAACUUUUAUUUCCCUGUAAGAUGAACACAACACACAUCCUGGAAGAUGAGGGGCCUAGAACUACACAGCCUCUGACUACAGGGCAUUAAACCUUCCCCUGUGAUGUAUUCUCUGCAUUUGAACCUUAACUCAUCCUGACUAUCCAUCUCUUUCGUCUUUGCUUAAAAGCCCCCAGUUGAUGAAAAAGAAAUGCCAACUGCUUCCCCAAUCCCUGGGGAUCUCUUGAUUUUUAUUUUGACUUUGAGGUCUAGGACACAACAGAACUCAGAACGCUGCAUUCUGUCAACAGCAAUAAUCCACUAAGUACUAUGGAAUGGAUGGGUUAAGGAUGAGAAAAAGGGACCAAGACUCAUGAGACUGUCUCUGGCUACUUGGUAUACCUCUCACAGUUAUACCUUGGACUGGCUGAUUCUUCUGCAUGUGUUACAGGGAAAAGUGCUGCAUGUGGUGAACCUGUCAGCCUGGGAUUAGGGAUGAGCUGUUGUUAUGAAUUUGGGGUGGUAUGGGAAAAAAUGUAUGCUGCUUAUCCAUCUUAGCUCAUUGCAUUGAAUUCAGUGAGAACAGUGUACAGGGAUUAUCUGUGUAGCAUAGGCAUGCAACGUUUGACAAAGCUCUUCCCCCACCUCCCUUGCACUGUAAUGUGCUGAAAUGUCUUUGUAGACCUGAAGGUGCACUUAACAAAACUGCCUAGCAGGGAAUGACUAUCAUUUGGCUUCUUUAUUGUAUUUACUUUAUCAGACUUCUUGCCUUUUCGUCCCCUUCUUAGGGACUGAGCUUUGGUAUCUCAAGCCCUGAACACUUGUUUCCUCCAGGAAGAGGAAACUUCUGAAAUGCUGAUAGCCAUAGCUCAGCUCUUCCAGUAUGUGGGGGCCCUAGUUCAAUAGGGUGGCAGUGGAAGGGUUUGGUCGUACCAGGGCUGUUAGCCAUCCCAGAAUCUCUGAAGUGGUUAACUCACUUCAAGUGAUCUGAACCAGAGAGACCAAAGACAUUAACUUCCUCUGUCCUCAGAUUUCUAGAAGGCAGAUUAGAGUCAGGAAAGGUUUUUGUUUCUGCUUACCCCUUCUUCCCCAUCUGUGCAUAACCCCCCUGGCUCCCCCUUUGAGACUCGGGUUCUGAUGAUGAGUUCAACCAGUUCACUGGGAGUGUGUUAGUGGGUUAGCCCAGAAAAAUCAGACAAACCAACAGCAAGCUUUUUUCCUCAUGGUGGCUGUUGGCAGUUAUUUCUUGAAAAUGAAAUCUUUUAGAAAUGAAAAGCCACUAAUAGUGAAACUAAAGCACAAGGGACAGCACAAUCUUGAUUCGCUUGAGAAUUAAAGAAAAUACAUGUAAGUGGUAAAUGAGGAGUAGAUUUCUCUAAGUAGAAACUUAGUUUUGUCCAAUAAGAGCCUUCUUCAUGUUUGUGUAUAGUUAACAAAAUUUUCAACAAUUUGUUGACAUCUAAAGAGUCAGUAAUAAUAGUUUCUAACCCUCCCAUUUAACAUAGGAGACCUCAAAACAUAUGCUUUCUAAGCAGAUUUUUAAAAUUUUAAUUCUUUGUUUGCUAGAUCAGCUUGAACAGAAAGGAGAAAAGGGAACAUCAGCAGGAAGCAGGUCUCCAUUUUCUUCCAGGAAUGACUUAUUCCUGGGAGUGGUGGGAAUUGGUGGGUGGUAACCAUUCAUAGCAUAAAAUUGCUAGAAAGAAUAUAAACUGCCAAACAGCCACUUUAUCUUCUAGCUUUUUCCAAGCCAGAGUGGAAUCUUUUGAUGUUCAUGUUCAUUUUAAGAAGACAAAUAAACAAACUAAAAAUUGAAGUCCAGACACCACCCAAGCUGAAUUGCUAUCUUGGGAGGCGGCCUCUUGCCUGCCGCUCGCUACGUUAGCACUUGUACCUAUAUCAUGGAAUUUCAGGGUAUAUGUGAACCUGUCCAGCAUGACUCAGGUAAAUCUUAAAAGAAUGUACAUUACUUAUCACUUUGUAAAGAAGUAAACAGGGGCUGAAUUGUUAACCAAAACUGUCCCAUUUCUUGGGUCACUGUGCAAACUCAUUCAGGGUAUUGAUGUCAGGUUAGAAGCCUUGGGAUCAAAUGCCAGUCUCUUUGCUCAGGCAAAAUGACCACAAACUUUCUGGGAAAGUCUAGGGUGUUUGUAAAGGGUGAGGCCCUGCUGACCUCAGGACUAUUAGCUUUAAGGAGAUUAACCCUAGUCACAGUGAUUUUCAUUUAGGAGCUAACUAGGAGUUUACUUUUAUGAUGUGAAACUUCAAGGAGUCUAGAAAAGUUUUGUACCCCAAUCAGAGGAGAAGAAGAAGAAAUGGUGUCAGGAACAAAACACACAAAACAAAACAAGAAAACCCUCGAAGAAUAUUCCAGGUCAAAAGUUGUCUCCUCUCCAAAACUUCAGGAAGCCCCUUUCUACUCUCCAGUGCACUGUUUUGGGACCUUUUAUGCUGCUGUAAGUAGACUACAUGGAAUCUCUUCAUGGACAUACCUCUAGUAUUAAAGAAUUUUGGAGGUUAAAAAUUAAGUCUUAUUAAUUUGAAGUGCACCAUCAGGACAACAAACCAUUUAAGCUGAAAAACUCUAUUUUAUUUCUUGAAUUUGCCAAUUGCUUACCCCUUGAGUUAAGGAUGUGUGUCUAACCCACUGUGCAUCUUCCUUGCCCUAACUGUUUAACACGUCAGGUAGAGGACAUUGAAUGUUUGAAUUGAGAACCUAAUUGAUGCGCAUAGUUUUCAUCUAUGCAAUUUUACUUGCUUCUGUCACUUUACGAUCUGUUCAUAUUUGGCAUUAAUUAAAGAUAAUUUUUAAGGA